AUCAAACGGCUAAGUAAAUGAGAACUGGAAUUAACAGCAGAGUGCAACCACAGAAUAUCAUACAGUAAGGACAGCUUUUGAAAGCCCCAUAAGAAAUACACGUAACGGACCAGAACAACAAUAAUCGACCGUUGGGUAAGGACAUGACCUUGAAUUUUGGCUUGAAACUGUAGUGGCAAACCUUGUUACUAAAAAAAAAUUACCACCAUGUCAACAUUGUGCUUCAAAUUUGACAUUUUAUGUGUUUAGCAUUUAAUGUUGUAACCUUAGAUCAUAUAAUAAAUAGAUACCAAUACUCAAACUGAAAGCUGUGACUAGACAUGAAGCUAUCUGUUGUCGUUUUCUACGUCAAGGGGAGUAGUAUAAUGCUAUCCUUGUGUGAUCACCACAUCUUCAUCUUUGUUAUAUGCAUUUCAUCUGUAUAUGUCUAUUUCACUUCCAUCCUUGUACCGCACCAGCCCAACAAAUCGCUUUUGACAGAUGUUUCUUCUAACCUCUCUUUCGAGUUGUUGUACAAAAAACAAUUUUAGAAUUUAGAACAAAGAUCCUAUUUUAAGUGAUGUAAUCAUAAAGGAUCACAAUUGCUGCCCAAUAAUUUAGUAUUCGUUUCAUUAUCUACUGUGAAUUAUUUAUAAAAUCAAGCUGUCAACAUCUUUCGUACGAAGUUAGUUCAGACAUACUUCCUAAAAUUUAGGCGCGCAAAAUUCAAAUAGUGAUCAGGCAAGGAUAGCUUCAUUGUAAUCCCUCCAUGCACGAGAGAGAUGUGUGACAGGAGGAUGUCGUCACAGGCUCUGCUAGGGAAAGAACACGGCAUGGUGGUAUCUAUUUAUUAUAUGAUCUAAGGUUGUAACUGUAAUUUAUUAUUUUUACUGAAUAGAAAAUGCGCGUUCGAACAAAUAAAUAGAAUAAAUAAUCUUGUGGAAGCAAAUCGUUUUUCUAGGGCUGCAACAUAAAAGGUGGAUGCUUCAUGUAGCAUCUUAAGCUCGCUACUCACGUUCCAACGCCGCAGUACAAUUGUUUUGGAUAUGACGAAAUUGAAGUGUCUUGAACGUCUGUGUAUGCGAUCAAGCAAAUCGGUUGGAUGUGGACGGUUGGUGAACAAGUCUGUCUGCAGCAGUACAAUCGUGUUGUAUUGGAUGGAAAUUUGAUCAUGUGUGGACAUGACUCGACAGUGUAUGUUAUUCAAACCGUGAGAGCAGCUAUAAAAGUACAUUUUCGUCAUUUCGUCAGACAUGUUGUCAUCACGAUCGCAAAUUUUUAACUGCAAGAUCGUAACGUGUGUGUGUACUUUUUAACAGAAUUGUACAACAGUUGCAUCCAAUACAAUCAUACAUCAUCAAAGGCGUUGAAGUGACAGAGAAGUUUAUCAUAUAUGAUGACAUUACGUGCAAUGGCAAAAUAACUACAUGUUUCACAGAUUCCGAGGGAAAUUUAAAGAAGCCCCUGAAGCAGGUUUUUUCAUUGUGCCUGCAAUCACGACGUGAUCUACCACUGUAGUCCAUGUUACUAUGAAAAGGUUCUCAGAAUCACUUCACUAAUUUAACUAACAACAAAAAUUCAACCAAAAACAUCAAAGUACUUUUCCCAGGGAAGAUGAAAACGACAGCGUUCACUUUCUGACUCUUCAAACGGUUCACACUUGGCGAAAAUUGAAGGCAUUGACAAAAUAGGUAGUUGAUAUGUUUAUGUUGAAAUUAACUUGGUAAAGUGAUAGACUUUUAUUAAUGAAUAAAAUAAAUAUAAGUACAA